rnacentral:rRNA from 1 species
GAUGAACGCUGGCGGCGUGCCUAAUGCAUGCAAGUCGAGCGAACAGAUAAGGAGCUUGCUCCUUUGACGUUAGCGGCGGACGGGUGAGUAACACGUGGGUAACCUACCUAUAAGACUGGGAUAACUUCGGGAAACCGGAGCUAAUACCGGAUAACAUUUGGAACCGCAUGGUUCUAAAGUGAAAGAUGGUUUUGCUAUCACUUAUAGAUGGACCCGCGCCGUAUUAGCUAGUUGGUAAGGUAACGGCUUACCAAGGCGACGAUACGUAGCCGACCUGAGAGGGUGAUCGGCCACACUGGAACUGAGACACGGUCCAGACUCCUACGGGAGGCAGCAGUAGGGAAUCUUCCGCAAUGGGCGAAAGCCUGACGGAGCAACGCCGCGUGAGUGAUGAAGGGUUUCGGCUCGUAAAACUCUGUUAUUAGGGAAGAACAAACGUGUAAGUAACUGUGCACGUCUUGACGGUACCUAAUCAGAAAGCCACGGCUAACUACGUG